UCGAAGAAACGCUGGCCUAGAACGUCAAAGGAGGACCAGAACUUAAGCCUCACGUUACCAGGCAGAGAGCUCCAAGAAGCGCAGCCAAGGGCGAUCUUGAAGGGGAGCUGGACCCCAGAGGGAAAGAAGGAGCUGCGUAUCUAAUAGUGGGGACAUCCCGGUUCUGAACAAGAGCAACGCGGGGCGAACGUUAUUGAGCCGGGAGGGGAAGACAGGCCAGGGGAAACAUCACUUGGCAGCCAGACGCAUCGGGGGACUUCAGAGAAAGGGACAGCUUUGAAGGAUGCACAUUCUGGUUUGGAGGUGAUGGGUGGCAGAGGGACAAGGGGGCACCCUCCCAGGGGAGAGAGGAGCUGUAGCAAGUGCAAGCAGGAAACGAGACAGCAAAUCCUUCAGCUACCCUUCCCGGAGAACGGAGUUCGUACAGUAUGCGGCCAGCGGCUUCCCCUGUGCUUCGCGGCCAUCACCCCCUUGUCCCUGUCGCCCUUUGCUGCCGCCCUGCCUCUAGCUCACAUGCAGGUCCAGGGUAAGAAGAAAAGUCCUCCCUUAAUCCUGCAUCUCCUUGGGGGUCUUUCUUUCCUAUCCUAGUCCUUAAAGUCUGUCGGUGGUCUCCCCGCUCUCACCCUCUGCUCAUCUCCCUACAGUCCAGCGUUUCUCGGUGCCCUGGCCUUUCCCUACCAGGCGCCCCACCUCCACCCCCAGAAAGAGGAAGCUCUUGCUUCCUCUCGCUGUGGGUCCUCAGCGGCCUCGGCACUGUCAACUCCAGGAACGCGAGACCUGUCUGGCGGGUGGCACCGUUGCUAACGUCCUUCAUGAAAACCCUACUCUCCGCCAGCUUCCGGACUCUUCUUUGCUGCCUCUUCUUGCCAGCUCUCAAGAGUGGUGUCUUAGUCCAUUUCGGCUGCUGUGACAAAAACGCCAUGGCCUGGGCAGCUUAAACGACAAACGUUUCUUUCUCAUAUAGUCCUGGAGGCUGGGAAGUCCAAGGUGAAGGCUCUGGCAGAUUCAGCGUCUGGUGAAGGCCUUCCUCCUGGUGCGGAGACGGCCGUCUUCCCACGGUGUCCUCACAUGGCAGAGGUGGGGAGGGAGCUCUGUGGGGUCUCCUUCAUAAGAGCACGGCUCUCCAGCCUUGUGACUCAUCACCUCCCGAAGGCCCCCCCUCUUGGUACCAAUCACAUUGGAGAUUAGGAUUUUAACAUAUGAGUUUGGGGGGGCGGGGGGGGGACACAAACAUUCAGUCCAUACCACGUGGGGUUCUUUUCUCUCUGUUUUUAGCCCGAACAUUGUCUCGGUCCAUGGUCCCCGAGUGAUUUCAUUACUCCAGUGGAUUCAACCACUAACCCCCCUUUCACCGAAGUACACAGGAGCUCUACCAAAUUGGGUAACUACCGACCCUGAACUUCCGGAGCUCUCUUGGGGCACCAGGUGAUCCUGCCACCUUGCAAAGAGAUCGCUAUUGUUACACAACAUCAUUAGUGAUAGCAGCCUUCCGGAGGAUUAAACUGUUAUCGAUCUUCCAUUUUCAAGAACACUUUGGACUUGCAACAUAAAAUAGCAAAUCUCCAACAUUACAGAAACCAAAUAAAAGAUCAGCGCGAUUAAAUGAAAACCACCACCAAUUAAUCUCAUCUAGGCUAAAAACUGCAAAAUGGCUACUAACACUUAUCAUAAUUACAAUGACAUUAAGGCGCCUUUCGGGGUUGUUUUUGUUUCUUUGUAAAUGGGAUUUAAGUAACGUACCCUCCGAAGAUGAUAAAUCUAACUGCAUGACUACCAGGUGCAAGAAUUCUAUUUGUGUGGCAUGAACAGGGCUGCUAAUCCCUCACUCGUUCUUUUCCGUUUGGCAGCUAAACAUUUCCUGGUGUGCCCCGUAAUAACAGGCAGCUGUCCCGUCAACUCCGCCGAAAAAUGAGAUAACAAGGCAGGCAAAUGAUGUCUUUUAUAUCCCGAAUAUAACUUCCUGCAGUUUUCUUCUCAAACGCUUGAAGUAACAAGGAUCUGGGCAAUUUUCACACUGUUUCUUCUUCUAAAAAAGUUUGUCCAAAUUCUCGGUGAAUGUCACUUCCCUUGGGGCCAUUUGGUGGAAAAAAGCAGCAGCCUGCUUCAUUGCACCAGGACAGAAGGGCUGAAUGGGGCCUGUGGAUGGAAAUCCCGCCUCAGAAGCCCGUGAGGUGAUCAGAGCUGUAAUAGUGUCUGGAGGGGCGGGUUGGCUCCCCAAGAAGACAACCACUGUGGACCUUUCUGUAGCCACCCUGGGCUAACUGGCCCUUUUAGAAGCAGUAGCAAGAGCAGCCUUGAAAAAUGUUCCCCGAGGGCCUCCUCCUGGGUGAGAAAAUUCCAGCUGGGCGGGUAGGAGGGUCUCACUCCGGGGAGCCCCGGGUUGUCUACAAGGUGUGAGCUCUGAUGCAUCCUGGAGGUCAUCUGUAUCUCUCCCACAUUUGACAAAAAAAGGAAGCUGAGGCUCUAUGCCAGAGGGCAGAGAUGGAACUUGACCC